GUGCCGCAGGUCACGUCACGUGUAGAAAUGGCCAGUGGGAAAGAUAAGGAAGGCUGCCCGGAGUUGGAGGAUGCGCCAGCGUUGUAUAAGUCUGGUGUGUGGGAACACUUUGAGUAUCAUGUUACCUAUGAUGACAGCGGAAAUGAAACAAUAGAUACAACUGUGACCGUGUGCAAGCAUUGUGCAACAUGCAUUUAAUAUGCUAAC